rnacentral:rRNA from 1 species
AUAACAAUGCGGGACUCUUAUGAGGCUUCGUAAUUGGAAUGAGUACAUUCUAAAUCCUUUAACGAGGAACUAUUGGAGGGCAAGUCUGGUGCCAGCAGCCGCGGUAAUUCCAGCUCCAAUAGCGUAUAUUAAAGUUGUUGCGUCUAAAAAGCUCGUAGUUUGAAAACUUGCCUUGGCUUACAACAGACGUCUAAGGGCGUCACCGUUUGUCGAGAGCAAAUAUGGGUGACUGUUCUUGCCUUCUUCACUGAUUGGCUCGUAAAAGUCAUCGAAGAUCACUUUGAUUAAAUUAGGGUGCUCAAAGCAAGUGUGCUACUUGAAUAUGAAUGCAUGGAAUGAUGGAAUAUGUUGUUGUUCUAUUUGUUGGUUUUUUGAAUGACGAAAUGAUUGAAAGGAACUGUUGGGGGCAUUCGUAUUGUUGUGAGAGAGGUGAAAUUCUUAGACCAUAGCAAGACGAACUACUGCGAAAGCAUUUGCCAAGAAUGUUUUCAUUGAUCAAGAACGAAAGUUAGAGGUUCGAAGGCGAUCAGAUACCGCCCUAGUUCUAACCAUAAACUAUGCCGACUAGCAAUUUGCUUUGUAUUUUUAUGACUAAGUGAGAGGCCACGGGAAACCAAAGUAGGGUUAUGGGGGAAGUAUGGUUGCAAAGCUGAAACUUAAAGGAAUUGACGGAAGGGGACCACCAGGAGUGGAGCCUGCGGCUUAAUUUGACCCAACACGGGAAAACUUACCUGGUCCUGACACUAGAAGGAUUGACAGAUUGAUAGCUCUUUCUUGAUUUGGUGGAUGGUGGUGCAUGGCCGUUCUUAGUUGGUGGAGUGAUUUGUCUGGUUAUUUCCGAUAACGAACGAGACUCUAGCCUAUUAAAUAAUAUGCGGAAUCAAUUUCUCCCGCGUUAUUUCUUAAUGGGAUCAAGCGUGUUUAACGCUUUGAAACAGAGCAAUAACAGGUCUGUGAUGCCCUUAGAUGUUCGGGGCUGCACGCGCGCUACAUUGAAGAACAAAGUGAGCCCUCUGGCUUUUAACAAAGCUAGAAAUCUUUUAAUGUUCUUCUUAAUGGGGAUAGGGGAUUGCAAUUGUGCCCCUUGAACGAGGAAUUCCCAGUAAGUGCUAGUCAUUAGCUAGUACUGAUUACGUCCCUGCCCUUUGUACACACCGCCCGUCGCUACUACCGAUUGAAUAGUUUAGUGAGAUCAUCUGAGUGUUUGUAUGUGCAUUCUGUGCUUGUAUGGUGUACGAAGAAGAUCAAACUUGAUUAUUUAGAGGAAGUAAAAGUCGUAACAAGGUUUCCGUAGGUGAACCUGCGGAAG